ACGGCCAUACCACGUUGAAAACACCGGUUCUCGUCCGAUCACCGAGGUUAAGCAACGUCGGGGCUCGGUCAGUACUUGGGAGGGUGACCACCUGGGAACACCGGGUGCUGUAGGCU
rnacentral:rRNA from 1 species